rnacentral:rRNA from 1 species
AUUGAACGCUGGCGGCAGGCCUAACACAUGCAAGUCGAGCGAGCGGCGGACGGGUGAGUAAUGUCUGGGAAACUGUCUGAUGGAGGGGGAUAACUACUGGAAACGGUAGGUAAUACCGCAUACCAUCAGAUGUGCCCAGAGGGGAUUAGCUAGUAGGGGGGGUAACGGCUCACAUAGGCGAGGAUCCCUAGCUGGUCUGAGAGGAUGACCAGCCACACUGGAACUGAGACACGGUCCAGACUCCUACGGGAGGCAGCAGUAGGGAAUAUUGGGCAAUGGGCGCAAGCCUGAUGGAGCCAUGCCGCGUGUGUGAAUAAGGCCUUCGGGUUGUAAAGCACUUUCAUCAGGGAGGCGUUACCCAAAGAGGAAGCCCCGGCUAACUCCGUGCCAGCAGCCGCGGUAAUUC